AAAACUGUUACCGCUGAAUUUUCACGUAACAAAAGCCGGGGCUUACGGUAACGAAGCCCCG
rnacentral:sRNA from 1 species